CUAUAUAAGCCCCUCUGUUAACUUUUGUUCAAGCCUGUCUAGAUCUUUUAUCAGUCUAGAAAGAUGUUGGAGAAAAGACAUCAUCCUCUUCUAUAAUCUCCAUCUGUAAUUGGACUAACAACUGGACCAGUCAAUGCAGGCAACUUACUCUCCAUUCGACCUUGCAGGUCACACCAUGGUCUCAAGAGGGAAAAUGAGUGCUCUAUGGAUUGAACAGAAAAAGGUGAAUCAAAGCUCCAACAUCUGUAUGAGGGUCUGGAUGGAUAAAGGAUGCCCACUGGAGCUGGAAAUGAUGGAUCAGGUGGAUCCACACUUGAACCAUCUGUAUGAUGAUCUGCACCCACUGGAUCUGUAAAUGGUGGUGCAGAAAGACACAGCACAUCAUUAUAUCGUUGGCUCCGCCCACUGGUGUUCAGUCUAAAGUAGUAGUUGUUGACAAUCAUAAAGUUGUAAUAACAGUAAGAUUGUGAUGUCAGACAAACAUUGUGCUGUUGCUGGCUGUGGGAAAUUAGUGUCUUUGUAAGGGUCGCAAAUAAUUUGAAAAUAUUUAUGUUUCUAAAUAUGCCCCCCUACCAUGAACUAAACUGGACUGUUGCAGAGACCAAGUGUAGUAGGGUACACUACUAUGCAGGUGACAUUCUUUUGUUUAUUGAAGCUAUGACAAAUAAUUUGUCUGUUUAGUUAAUGUUUUAUACAGUGUAACUGUACCUAAACAUUGUUCCUUGAGGUCCUCUGCUAUUUACAUUUUGUAUGUCUUCCUUAUUUAACACACCUUAUUCAAAUCAUCAGCUCAUUAGUAGAGAUCUUCAUGAACUGAACUGAGGCUGUGUCCAAAUGUUCACACUUGUUGUCUUUGCACUAGACUACUUACAUUACGGGUUUUUUUUUUUGUAUUUGGCCUAAGUAUUCUAGUGGGCGUGAAGAUCCCAAGCGUGCAUGUAGAAUUAUUCAUCCGAUGGGACACACUUAGCAUGGGUAAAAAUUUCAAUCCAGGUAGUGCCAGCAAUUUGCACCAAAACGUAUUUGUGUUUUAUUUACUACUUUUAAUUUAUAUUUAACAUUUUUAAGUUUUUCUGUAAAUAAAAUGAACACUCUGAAAUGAACAUUUGCUUAUAUCAAACUUUUAGAUGCAGAAUUCUUUGCUCCUGUAAAAAAGCUCUUUGUUUUGAGUAUGUAGCUUUAUUAAAGUGUAUUAUUUAUUCAGUAGUCCCUAAAUAAACGACACAAUGUUGCAGAUGUUUCACAAAAUGCAUAACAAUAAUGCAGUGAACACCAUAGAAAUGUUAACAUACAAUUAAAAGUCUCAUGCUUUACAUCCAGAACAUGAUGCACGAUAGGAUGCACAAAGUGAUAUUUGGACGCAGCCUCAGUCUGUCAAAUCAAAGAGACAUACAGAAUGCACAGAGCAGUGGGACUCCAUGAACAGAGUUGAGAACCACUGCUGUAACUCAUUAUGCUUACCUGACUC